rnacentral:lncRNA from 1 species
ACAGACCAUGGUAAUCAACACACACAGUCGGAAUGAAAGGUGAAGCUUUGACUGGAUUCAACCCUCCAUCUACUGUGCUCGGCCUUUCUGUCGCUUUGUGUCUGACUGACUAACGCUCCACUGGAUAAAGAUUUAAUUGGCUCUAAACAGACAGCCAGAACUAUAAACAACCAGAAUAAACACAAAUACAGACAUGCUGGAAAGAGAGUUGGAGAGAAGAUGAGCUAAGGACAGUAACCCUGUGGACAUAAAAACUGCACAUAUUUUAUUUUCAUGUUUUUCUUUCAAAUCCGUUUGGGAUAUUUCAUUUGGCGAUUUUAUCUUGUUUACAUUGUUUUUAUGUGAUGGAUCUUUUGAGAAGCGGAUUUUUUUUGCAGCAGUGCCAUACUUUGAUCAUAAGAAUGUCCUGACAUGUCAAUGUCAUUUCAAUGGAAGGAAUAUGCUUCAGUUUUUUAUCAUAAAUGAAAAAGCAAAAAAUUGGAAAUUGAAAUUUCUUCAUUUUCUUUAUUUUGGCCCUCUCAAAGCCAACAGCCAUGCAUCCUGCACAUUCAGAUUUUUUUUUUGCAAGUAACAUUUUUCAGUAUUAGUAAAAUUAACAAUUUCACAAUUCACUCUUCAAACUACAAACGUGCCUCCCACCAACCCCUCCCACCAUCAGCCAUCCGACCAAUCAUGGGCAAGCCUCUUAGCCGUCCUGGGUGUUUCAGGAAGAGCUCCUGCUGCCUUGAGAAACAUGGAGCUGGGGAUGGGGGAGUGGGAGGGCGAGCCGCAACAGUUGAAGGGGGAUACGGAGACGGCUACAUACCCCAACGAUCCAUCUACGAUACCAUGUGUAUCAAUCAACAGAUUGACAGCCAUCACCAUCACUCUGGAGGGUCCGUAAGGCGAGAUGUUGGAAGUGAGGGGAGUUUUAGCUAUUCUGCAAGCGGUUCCCUGAGGGUUAACAGGUCUCCUGCUGACAUGUUCGAUCCGCAGCCCCGCUCUCUAACUCCAAACCCCUCGUUUGUUCGCCGACUGGAUGAAAGAGCCAUCUAUGAUUCAUUGAAGCUUGGGGGUCAGGAUGUUGAUGGUGGUGGCUGCCAUUCGCCAGGAUGUUUCACCCGAUCAGUUUCUCCCUCCAUGUCGUCAUUCUCAGUGCCGGGAGUGUCGUCCUCCUCAUCUAAAAAACAUCACCAUCACCCCCACCAUCACCAUGGAGACAGUACAAAGAGCAGAGAUGGCCGACAUUCCUGGAAAGUCUUGACGCCUCCAAAACACCUGGAGUGUCUGGAGCUUACUACAACUGAAAUGAUGGACAGAGGAGGGGGGUACCUAAACCCAGGGCACUACCCUCCCCCUGGGGGCCAGUCCUCCUCUCUUACCUCCCCCCUCAUUUCCCCCUUCUCCGGCUCACCUCUCUCCUCCGGUUACCAUACUCCGGUAUUUUUCUCCCCUGCCAAACCUCGCCCCAGUCAGUCCCAGAGUUUGCGAUGUUCCCCUCCCCAUGCCAUCCAGCCAAGGCAUUACUCCCAAACCCAGAGCCUCAGGCUGUCGCCACCCCUCGAGCUUAGACGAUCCCCCUACCGUGCCCCGCUGGUGCAACUGUCUGCUCAUGACCUUGAGCAGGACAUGAGGGAUCGUGGAGGAGGGUGGGGCCGGAGUGAACGAGAAAGGGAGUGGGAGAGGGAGAGAGAAAGGGAGAUGGAGCGAGGAUGGGCCCAGCGAGAGUGGGAAAGAGAGAGGGAGAGGGGGAGGCUGGAGAGAGAGAGGGCAAGAGAAAGGGAGAGGAGGGAAACAUCAACUUUUGGGACCUUCGGGUAUGGUCGACCAGUUCCCCUGCGUACAGACAGAGACUCUGUCUUUUUGGAGCCCGACCAAGUUUUAGACACAACACCCCUGUUGCUCCCUCAGCCCUCACCUUCACCCUCCCCCAGUGCUGCCCCCAGAAUGGGCACUGGCGCUGUGGGUAGGAAUCGAGCAGGGUCAAAGGUUGGCUCUGAAAAUGUAGGUGGAGGUAUGGGUUCAAAGUUUGACAAUGGGAGUGUAGGUUUAGUGUUAGUUGACAGCAAAUCUGGAUGUGGGCCGAGGUUAGUAAGUGAAGUUGGAGUUGGAAACAUGUCAGAGGCUGAAAUCAGGGCUGCAAUACAAGAACACCAUAGAGCUGAAAGUUGGAACAAAUAUGACAAUGGAUCCAGGGCUAGCAUAAAAAAUGGGUCUGAAACAAGAAUGGGCUCCCAGGUGACAACACGACCAGGGGGACGGGAUUUGGAAGGAAAUGUGCAGUCUGGGGUGGGGAUAGAAAAUAUAGCUCCAACUGUGAACAAGGAGGGAUACAGGGGAGGGACAAGGAGUGGAGAAACAACUGUAAGGGGUGUGGCUAAACAUGAACCUAUUGCUGAGGCUAUAUCUUUAUCUGUGAUUGACAUUAAGAACAGGAUUGAGCCUGGAGAUAAAGUUGAUCUUCGACCUGGACAUGGUAUGGGGAUGACACCAGAGAUUGAGGCAAGGGUUGAGGCUAAAGCUAGUUUAAGUCAGGUGGAGAACAGGACUGGAACAGAAGCUGGAGGUGUAACUAAAGUUAACAAUGAGGUUGGUUCGCCAGCAGAGUUCAAAGUAGAAGGUAAAGUUGAAACAGAAGUUAAGAUUUCUCCUACAUCUAAGCCUGAGGUAGUACCAGAGACUGGGGUUAGUAAUGAGACAGGGACUAAAAGUAACACUGAUACUGGGGUUGUCAGUAAAACCCAAAGCAGCAACAAGACUACAGAUAAAGCUCAGAUAAGUGUUGUGGCUAGGGAUAAAACUGAUAUUGCCCCUGCAGAUCAGGCUGAGAAAAAGCCUUUGGACAUUAAUAAAAUUGAAUCUAGCCAUGUAGAGAAAGGUUCCAGGUCCCACAAGUCCAAAUCAUCCAAGUCCAGCUCUAGGACUCGACCUGGCACGGCCACAGGGCUCCGUCCAGGCCUUGUCAGCCCUCGCCUAAGCAGAGGAUUUGAAGACCUUGAGUCAACAGGCCCUACUGAGGGCAUCGAGUCCACCUGGCCUCGCCGAAUCAUUGUCAGAAAGAGGACUGUUCGGCAGGGUGGGGCACUCCACAACCUCCCUAUUCUCCCCCCACUCCCGGCUGUCCUGUCAGCAUUGGAGAAGAGGCGCCCGCAUAUUCACCUCCACCCAUGUCCAGGCCACUUUUCAGAGAAUCCGCUAACAACCAUUAUGAAUGCCACAAGUAUUGUUGGACGAUGUUCCCUUAAAGAGCCCUCCCAUCCAGAACCAGGACAGGGGGGCAGUUUGGUGGGUAGAGCUUCCUUGAAGGAGCAGAACUUGGAGCACUGGAGGGUCUGCAAAGAGCAGGAAGAACCCAAGAGAUCCAAGAGCAAGGAGAAACAAGGAGAGCUGAGUAAGGAAAAGACUGAGAUAGAGGAGAGGAAGGGGAAAGAAGAGAAGCGAGACAAGGAGAGGAGAGAAGAGAAAGACAAAAAGGAGGAGAAAGAGAGGACUAUUGUCAGUGAGGGGCUGUCGGAUAAAACCAGGAAACGAGAGAAGUCAGAGAGAAGGGUUGAAGGGAAAGUGCAAGAAGAUGGAAACAUAAAGGAACAUGUGAAAAAGGAAAGGGAUGUAGAAUUAAUUUGUGAAAUGGUGCAGGAAAGAGGAAUGAAGAUUAAGGAUGGAAUACAAGAGCGAAGCGACGAGUUGAAGCAGUUUGUGGCUAAAUCAAAGAAAGAAGAAAUUGAUGUGGCAGGCAGAGAAGGAGAAGGAGGUACAUUUGGAGAUGAAGGGGGAAUAGAGAGUUGGGACACUGUCCUUGACAUGGUCAACACAUUGUGGGAGGAUGGCUGGGAGAAAGGGGGAGCGGGUGGAGGUGGUGAUACAGAUUCCUUUUCUGGCUCCCUUCAGCGGUGGCCUCUUCUUCGGCCCCCAAUUGGCUUUGGGGGCUCCCACCCCCCCUCCUCUGCAGCCUCGGAGCUCAGCCUCACAGAGUUGGAAAGGAGAGCCAGGGAGUUGGACUCUGACCUGGAACACCUAGACCUGUCCCAACCACAAAGGCACACGCAGGAUUUAUACCAAACAUUGCUGGAGCCACAGAGAGAACGAGCUGACAUGUACCAAACACACCCUGGGCCGCAGAGAGAGAAAGCUGCUCUCUUGACAGGAGUGGGGAGCAGAUCCCAGGUCAGUUUGGAGCUCAGUGCUAUGGCCUCACCAGCUCCAGACACAGACAGACCUUCUGUUGACUGGUCGACCAAAUCUGCUGGGACUUCCACUGUUGGUACAAGCUCCAUUAAGGAGGACAGCUCUCCAGACUCCAACCUUACGCUGGAGUCCGACUCCAGUGGCGUCUUCCUCUCCUUAUCCAAUCAAAGCCAGGAGGAGGCCGGCUCUGACAGCGACCAGCCAAUCAGUGGCUCUGACCUAGGCAGCAGCAGCACGUCACUGGAGAAAGACGGGGAGGAAGGAGGGUCAAAGGAAUGGGGGAGGGAGGAGAGUGCAGAGCUACUGUGGUGCUACCCUACACUUUUCAAUAACUCCUUGCAAGAAGACAUAGAAGGAGAUAGUGGAAAAGAAGAAGCAGGGCAUGGAAAGAUUGGGAGAUAUGAAGAGAGAGGGAAAGAUGAGAAUGUAAGAAGGGUUGGUAAGAUAGGCACGGUUUCAAUCAUUAAAAACCCACUCAACUAUACAGACAUUGAGGAGUCCACGGCUUUAACUGCCCCACAAAGUGAAGCUAUACCACCCAGGAAAAAAGUGACCCUCAUGGGAAGUGACUUCCCUCUUCCUCUGUCUCCCUCAAAACAACCAUUCAAACACCUUCUAGAUCCAAAUCAGAAGCAAUUAAGAAGCUCAGGACUGGACUGUGGUGACUUAGAUCCCUUUGUUCAGUCGGACAGCUUUGUUUACCUUGCUGUGUCUGCAAGACCUGCAUCCCAGGGUGACGUCACUACAAUGACAGAAGUUCCCACCCAUGGUAUAAAACACGUCAGUGUACAGCAACAUUCGGACAUGAAAACACACUUUGAUCAGUCAAAUACAGAAUGGAAGCCAACUCAUCUUAUCCCACAAAAACCAGAGGAAGGAGACUUUCUGUGUACUGACAGCUUUGUCUACCUGGCUGCUCCAGCCUGUCACCUACUGGGCCCUGCAGGAACCGCACCGUACAGCGGCAGGGAGUCAGACUCAGAGAGUUCAGGAUCUGGCCCUGUUGAUAUUUCAGUACUGGGUUGUGGCUCGGUGGCAGGAGACAGUGACUGGGAUUCAGACCUGUCCGACUCCGAUCCCAGUCACUCCUCCAAAAUCUCUUCUGCUGGUAACAAAUCUGGUGGUGUAGCACGGUCCAAGCGGCUGCCAGCUGAACCGCGCUGGGACUUGUUUAGCGAUACCACCGAACAUGAAGUGCUGAGUGAGCUCUUCGCGGAACAGGACAAAAACAACACUGGCAUAGCAAGGAAAGUUACCGGGGUAACCACCAGCCUGGCAGAUGCAUCAGCUAUUCCCAUGGCAACUCAGCAUGUCACUACACCAGUGAAACGGGCAGCAACAGUAGAGCAGUCGUCAACAACAAAGGUGACUUGGCAGUUUAGACCAGCCCAGAGGUCAGUCUGCACAGGAAGCAGAAAGGAGAAAGAGAAGGAAGUGACAUCAUCACCAUUGGUAAGGUUCACAGAACUGAGAGGGGGCGACACCCACAGACCCUCCCCUUCAUCGUCUUCAUCAUCGUCACCCUCUUCAUCGUCUUCUGGUUGAUUUGUAAAGGAAAUUAAUUUUGUGCAACCAUUUGGGAGGGUGUGUGUUGCCAAAAGGUAGACAAUAUCUUCUAUUUGAUCUGUAGAGACUGAUAGGCUGAAGGAACUACAGAUUAUUUGCUUGAAUUUUGCAUCUAGCUGCUGCCAUUGCCUUCUGAUGACCUACUAAAGGCUGCAUAAAAGACUAGUUAAUUGUUGCAUUUACACAAUAUCAGUAUAAUCCAUUUAAGUUUAAAAUGAUGUGAGACUCAGGCUGAACAGAAACCUUCAGGUUGGGAGUAUGUGGAAAUAUGGUCACUGAUAGAACACUAAUGGGUAAUCAACAGUCACAUUUUGAAAAACAGGGUUGAUUUAGUAGUUACAUGUUUACAUUACUCUCUAUCUAAAUAAGAAGCAAGAAUAGUUCUAUGGGUUUUUUAUGCUAUUGAAUGUACUGUACAGGAUAAACACAACUACAAUGAAAAUCCACCAUAAUACAUAUUUCACAUAUGAGGCAUUCUCAAUGAUUUGGCUUGGUUACCUGUAUUUAAACUUUAUUUCAAUGUUUGAAUUCAGUUACAAUAACACAUACAAAUGGUUACAGAUGGAGAAAAAAAUGUCUGUCAAACUCCACCGUUGUGUUAACCUUUUACAAAGAUCAAACAAUGUAAAUGUGUCUCAGGCCUUAUAUCAAAUUACACCUCCUUGCCCAUGUAAUGCCUCACUUUAACACCUGCUCAUACUACUUCAUAUAUAUAUACUGUAUACUUUAAAAACUGAAAGAGGUCCAACUAUACAGUGUACAAUGUAUUUUAUAAUCACAUCCAGCUUUACAGUGUAUUUAACAGUGUGUCAAUAAUAUAUUUUGAAAGACAAUUAUAGAGUGAAAUAUAGAAUAUAAAAUAUCUAUACAGUAUAUGAUGAAUGUGCAACAUGAAAAAAUAAUGGAAGGAUUUAGUAAUAACAUUUAAUUUAAAUGUUUUAUUUAUCAAUUAGAUUUGAAAUUGUGAAUGUAAUAAUUGAGCAAUAUGCUUAUAGAUUGAUGCUAUACUAUAUGUUUCGUAUGUGGAAAGUGUUGCCUGAGUGAUGUGCAUAAUAAUGGCUGAGUUUCAUUUUAUUUAUAGGCCUACCGCCAAAUACUAAUUGUAAAUGCAGUCUUUUAGAGGUUCCAAGUGUAACUUUUUUAAACAUCAACUUAUCAUCAGGUAUCUUGGUAUACUUGCCAUAAACAAUGAGACCAUGGUUGAGAUGAUUGACAGCCUUUGUCUCACACCAGUUGUAUUUUUAGUGCUAGUGACUUCAUCUUCCAUAAUGCUCUUUGCUUCCUGUCUCUCCUCACCUCUUUGGCUUUAGUGAAGAGGAUAAACAUGUUGGAGAUGAUAUUUUUUACCAUUUGCCUUUCAUUCACAUCCACCAUUCGUCACAGUGAAAACAUUUGAAAGUGUUAGCUCUGUUUUCGCUGAAAGUGAAGCAAUCCAGAAGAUUAUCCUUCAAAUCCAUGUUGGUGGCACACAAUGUAAAAUGCAGUGUGGAGACUGGUAGAGCUGCCAAUCAUCCCAGCGGUGGUUAAGUUGUUAAGUAAGUAUACUAAUGUCACUGUGGUAAUCAUUUACUGAUGUUAAAGGGUAACUUGUGUAUUUUUAAACCUGGACCCUAUUUUCCAAUGUUUUUGUGUCCAAGUUACUAAUGGGGACAGCAAUUUUUUAAAUAAGUCCAGUAUAGAGUGAGAGCGCUGCAAUGUAAUCGUUUGUGGUAAUUGUGCACAAUAAUACAAAGUUUUUCUUUACCGUUUUCUGGAUAUGGUCUGUUUGUUAUUAUGUCUAACCAGGUCUCGCUCAACGAGGAGUCUUGUUCUAAAAUCUCACGAAAGGCGACUUGUUGCCUGAAGACAAUGGUUCCCUGAAGAGUUUGUUCUGUCGGAGUACAGAGGGCAUAGCUUAGUGUUAUCUAAAAUAAUUUCAAUGUCAUGGUUGAAUAUUUAGCUGAUUUUGACUAUGUGUAUGAGGCCUAACCCUUUUGCGAGAUUCAAAACGAGACUUCUUCAACAGUCUUGAUCCAGCAAAAGCUAAAGAAAAGCGUUUCUCUGUAGGGUCCUUUCGAUAAUGUUGUCAGUUACUUAUGAUAAAAACAUGAGCCUGUCAGUGGCAAAAACAAGCACUUCUGUUGUGAACAUACAUUAAAGCUGGGCAAUUACCCAGGAUUACAUUGCAGCCCAUUGUGCGGCUGCCAGCUGCAGUGCUCAUGUUAAGCUAAGUGUUGAUACUGGACACUUUACUUUACUUACUUAUCUUAGACCUGAUUAAAUUAACUUGAAAAAUACAGAACUUCCCAGAGCACAGUGCUAUCAGAUAUGUUAUCCUAUUAUAAAUGUGACAAAGGGAAAGUGGCAGGUUGACAAAUUAUUGUCAGUUAAACAAUAAUAAUUCUUCUUGCAAUGUGAUGUGGUUAUGAAAGACUAUGUGGUAAGUUAUGACCUGGUACAAAUUGCUUCUUAAGCAGGUGUAGUCAUGCUAUUUUAAAUAUGCUCUUAAAUUUCAAAUUGGUCAGUGAGAGGUAACUGUUUGGAUUAUGACAAAUUCCGAGUCAAGUAAAUGUGUCUUAGUGUGUGUUUAUUGUUGAGUGAAAGUGAUGGCACUAUAAUUUGUGUGAAUCUAUUGUGGGGAUGCUACAGCCAUAUUUCUUGAUUGCGAAUGAUGGGGUAAAAUGGGUGGGGUAUUCUUUUUCAGUUUUUUACGCAAAAUGAGAACUGUUGCCUUGUGCAGCUUUAACUGCCAUUAUGAACAUUGAAAUGCUCCCCCAGUCCUUAUUCUUAAUGAUGAUACUCUGUGUAAACCAUUUGGUAGAGCCGUAAAUGCAUCCAUCUGGUUUAGUGAUAGAUUUAUUAAUAUUUAUUAUUUAAUAUCAUCUGCUGAUUUCGAGCACAGAUUUACAAGCACAUCCAUGGAUGAAUAAUGUGCUUCAUUAGCAUGCAUCCGUAUUUUUAAAGCUAGGAAGUGAAUGUUAACCAGUACUGAGCUAAUGACUGACGAAGGUUUAAAAUGACCACAGUCUCUGACUACUUGUAACAUGUCAAAAUGCAUUAAAUAUACAUUAUUAGAUAUUGUUAUAACACCCAAUAGCACCCCAAAUUCCUGUUGAAAGUCAGCAGUUUCAAAAUCUAAAAAGUGAGCUGUGAGGACAUUUUGGCAUGUCCGGAUGUCUGUUAGAGGGUCCCCGGGGCACACAUUUGCCCCUAUUAAGCUCCCAUUACAGGAGAAACCAAACAGUAACCCUGUGCUUUUUAUUAUUUCCAGUUUGUUUCAUGUAUAUCAGUUUGGUGUAAUUUAAUUAAACACAUUUAUGCAGGAAGAUGUACCAAUACCAGAUGUACACAAUAGGAUGUUGUUAGCCUUCGCCAAAUCCAUUACAACUUGUAAGUCACUUGAGACUGAAUCAUUACUCACUGAAAAAGUAAUUGCAAUACCUUUCUAGUUACUGAGCACCAAAAGUUAAAUGUUACAUUACUCAUCAAUGAAGUUAACGUCCACCAACAAGCAGAAAUUGACACACCAUCCCAGACACUCCAAAACCGAUGCUAGAGGGUACCUAGAGCUUCAUAGUGUGAAGCGUAGGGCCUUUUAUGCUUUUAUUGGCGAGUUGGUUGUGAGGAUCUAUUCGUCCCUCAGACCCACAGACUAUCAUCUUCACCAAAGCUAAUGUCGCUAGUUUUAAAAGGCCUCUCUCCUCCACCUACAUUGCCAUUAGUUGAUCACAUACAGUGAACCUGAGUGCAAUAUUAAAAUCAAGGAGUGUAUCUUGUAGAAACAUGACAGAAUUAGCUCUUAUUUGAAAGUAGUAAGUCUCUGUCUCACGUGUCAUGAUAAACAUGAUUUUCACUGAUGAAAUCUCAUAUCUCCUACUUUUUAUUCUAUAUGAAAGAUUGCAUUGGAACAUGGUUUUGUAGAGCCAGUUUCUUCCCUGCAGCUCAACAUUGGGGCUCCAGGCAGUUUCUUGAUGGUUCUCUGCCAGCUCUGGCAUCUUGAUCAGCUGUGCUGUUUAUCUGAAGCUGACUGCUUCUUGUUGUAGAAAUGGUGAAGCACAUUUAUUAAACUACUGAGAUCUCAUUCUAAAAAAGCCGUUUACAUUAAAUGUAACCUGUAUAACCUGUCUCUAUUACGCUGGCACUACGCUGUGUAGCACUUGGAAACCUGGUUUCUAUUGGAAUUUUCUAACCCUACUGCUUUAUAUGUCUGAUGGAAGGAAUGUUUGUCUUUAGCUCACAAACUGGACCAAAAGAGAGAAUGAGCCAGUUAUGUACAAUUUCUUAUCAAUAAAAUAAUAUUUGAUUUCCGCUUGUAUUAAACUGUGGCAAAGCAUCUAGUUUCACUGUGAUAUAUUAAGGAUAAUUACUUUACUGACUUGUAAAAGUCAGUAAUAUCAGGCCAUACGUGUAAUACUUUGCUGUUCAUGUAAGCGCUGAUCACUGUUAAACUUUAGUGGUGAUUAAGAACUAAGACCUGAGAGGACUUUUUAGUAUAUAAAGAUAAUUUAUGUGAAAUCUUAUUGUUUGCCAUAUUCCCAAGCCUUGUUGAAAUGCAUUAAUGUACAAAUAAAGACUAAACUUGAUGUUGAAUGUGACUCACUUUGGCCUGUUUGGUGUCUGUCUCAGCUAUCUUAAUUCUGUUCUACACAUGCUUGGAUGUUACUACA